CUCUGGCAAGGGCAACUGGACCUAUUAUGGCCUCUAAACAACGGUGGUAUGUUGCCAGUUAUUAUUCUCUUCAUUCCAACUAAAGGACCUUCACAUCCAGUUGCUGGCCCAUAAUGAUGGAAACUUGGGCAUAUCUCUGCUGAUUUUGUUCUUUUGUGUUUAUUUUUUUUUUAUUUAGUUAAUUUUAGUCUCUAAUACUACGCUCCAGGCUUACACCUUACCCAGAAGGGUGCGCAAGAUAUCGACUUCCCCCAACACACACACACUUGAUAAUAAGUCAAAUGAUGUUUAUCACUAUGGUGCCU